rnacentral:misc_RNA from 1 species
UUUCCGUAGGUGAACCUGCGGAAGGAUCAUUAAAAAUGUGGUACCGAUUGUUGGUACUAAUUAAUCAUCCUACCCUUUGUGAAUUCGUUUGUAAUGAAUUUUUUUAAAUGGGUCUUUCCCUAAGUUGGAUUGUAGUAAAAUACAAAAAGACUUAGGGGAAUGACUUUUUUAAAAGACUUUUUUUUAAUUAAAACUUUUUGUAUUCAUUUGUCUAAAAUUUAUUUUUAUAAUAUAAAAACAACUUUUGACAAUGGAUCUCUUGGUUCUCGCAACGAUGAAGAACGCAGCAAAAUGCGAUAAGUAGUGUGAAUUGCAGAAUACGUGAAUCAUCGAAUCUUCGAACGCAUAUUGCACUUUUUUAGUUUACUAAAAAAGUAUGUCUGUUUGAGUAUCAGUAAAAUAUUCUCACAAAACAAUUUGUUUGUGGUUAUGAGUGUUUUACAACGAUAAACAAGUUGUUUCACUUUAAAUUCUUUUUGUAAGUUUUACCAAUUCACAAAUUAAAAUUGGAUAAAAUUUUCCUUUAACGAGGAAUAACCUAAACAAUUUUAAAUUUUAUGGAUUAGUAACAUCAUGAAGGAAUCUAUACAAUAAAUAACUUGAUCUCAAAUCAGAUAAGAGUACCCGCUGAACUUAAGCAUAUCAAUAAGCGGAGGAAAAGAAACUAACAAGGAUUCCCUUAGUAACGGCGAGUGAAGCGGGAAGAGCUCAAAUUUGAAAUCUUCAAGGUUUGACCUUGACGAAUUGUAGUUUAUAGAAGUGUUUUCUGUUGGAGUUUUGGUAAGAGUUCUUUGGAAUAGGACAUCAUAGAGGGUGAGAAUCCCGUAUUUGACCAUGACUUUCCAGCUGUGUGAUACACUUUCAAAGAGUCGGAUUGUUUGGGAAUGCAGUCCAAAAUGGGUGGUAAAUUUCAUCUAAAGCUAAAUAUUGGCGAGAGACCGAUAGCGAACAAGUACCGUGAGGGAAAGAUGAAAAGAACUUUGAAGAGAGAGUUAAACAGUACGUGAAAUUGUCAAAAGGGAAGCGUUUGACACCAGUGUUGUUUUCUCGAAAAUCAAUUUAAUGAGUUCUUGUUUUUAAGUUAUUGUGACUUUAUCAGCGCAUUUCUUAUUUUACUUGACUCAUUGAAUGCACUUUUCGUUUAACAAGUCAACAUCAAUUUCUUUGGUGGUAAAAAGUUUAAAGGAAGGUGGCUUGGACUUCGGUUCAAGUGUUUAUAGCCUUUUUUCUAUGCCAUCGGAGAGAUUGAGGUCUGCAGCGUAGAUCCUUCGGGGUUAGAUACCUUUGUGCUAAGUUAUAGUUUUUUAUAGACAACUUGUUGACUAUAAUUAACCCUGUAAUUUACUCGCUUAGGCUAUUU